rnacentral:rRNA from 1 species
CACGUAGGGGGCAAGCGUUGUCCGGAUUUAUUGGGCGUAAAGAGCGUGUAGGCGGCCAUACAGGUCAGCUGUGAAAACUCGAGGCUCAACCUCGAGACGCCGAUGGAAACCAUCAGACUAGAGUCCGGAAGAGGAGAGUGGAAUUCCUGGUGUAGCGGUGAAAUGCGCAGAUAUCAGGAAGAACACCCGUGGCUAAGGCGGCUCUCUAGUACGGUACUGACGCUGAGACGCGAAAGCGUGGGGAGCGAACAGG